UACGGAGGGGACUAGCGUUGUUCGGAAUUACUGGGCGUAAAGCGCACGUAGGCGGAUUUGUAAGUCAGGGGUGAAAUCCCGGGGCUCAACCUCGGAACUGCCUUUGAUACUGCAAAUCUCGAGUCCGGGAGAGGUGAGUGGAACUGCGAGUGUAGAGGUGAAAUUCGUAGAUAUUCGCAAGAACACCAGUGGCGAAGGCGGCUCACUGGCCCGGUACUGACGCUGAGGUGCGAAAGCGUGGGGAGCAAACAGG
rnacentral:rRNA from 1 species